rnacentral:rRNA from 1 species
GUGGGGAAUCUUCCGCAAUGGACGAAAGUCUGACGGAGCAACGCCGCGUGAGUGAAGAAGGUUUUCGGAUCGUAAAGCUCUUUCGUUAGGGACGAACGUGCUCUUUGUGAAUAAUGAGGAGUAAUGACGGUACCUAAAUAAGAAGCCACGGCUAACUACGUGCCAGCAGCCGCGGUAAUACGUAGGUGGCAAGCGUUGUCCGGAAUUAUUGGGCGUAAAGCGCGCGCAGGCGGGAUAUCAAGUCUGUCUUAAAAGUGCGAGGCUCAACCUCGUGAGGGGACAGAAACUGGUAUUCUUGAGUGUCGGAGAGGAAAGUGGAAUUCCAAGUGUAGCGGUGAAAUGCGUAGAGAUUUGGAAGAACACCAGUGGCGAAGGCGACUUUCUGGACGAUGUCUGACGCUGAGGCGCGAAAGCUAGGGGAGCGAACGGGAUUAGAUACCCGUGUAGUUC